rnacentral:misc_RNA from 1 species
GAUUUGAAGGAGAAUGUUUUGAGAGUUGGAGGUGGGGAAGUUUCUGUACCAUUUUUGCAAGAAAAAGACAUUCCAUCUCAUAUUCUGGAUGAAGAGAGCCUAGCCAAAGAAGCAUCCAGCUCAGGAAACCCAUUGGCCUCAGGAGCAAUGGAGAAGAAGAAUAAUGUACCUGCAGGUCAAUCUUCUGGAGUUGCACGAGGCAAUAUUACACAGAGACCUGAAUUUGAAGCCAAAGUUGCAAAGCUUGUUGAGCUAGG